UACGUAGACAGCAAGCGUUGUUCGGAGUUACUGGGCGUAAAGGGUGUGUAGGCGGUUCUUAAGUUUGGUGUGAAAUCUCCCGGCUCAACUGGGAGGGUGCGCCGAAUACUGAGGGACUAGAGUACGGGAGAGGAAAGUGGAAUUCCUGGUGUAGCGGUGAAAUGCGUAGAUAUCAGGAGGAACACCGGUGGUGUAGACGGCUUUCCUGGACCGACACUGACGCUGAGACACGAAAGCGUGGGGAGCAAACAGG
rnacentral:rRNA from 1 species